rnacentral:tRNA from 1 species
GUCCUUGUAGCUCAAUUGGAUAGAGCGUACGCCUCCUAAGCGUAAGGUUCCCGGUUCGAUUCCGGGCAGGGACA